rnacentral:rRNA from 1 species
GAUGAACGCUGGCGGCGUGCCUAAUACAUGCAAGUCGAGCGAACGGACGAGAAGCUUGCUUUUCUGAUGUUAGCGGCGGACGGGUGAGUAACACGUGGAUAACCUACCUAUAAGACUGGGAUAACUUCGGGAAACCGGAGCUAAUACCGGAUAAUAUUUUGAACCGCAUGGUUCAAAAGUGAAAGACGGUCUUGCUGUCACUUAUAGAUGGUACCGCGCUGCAUUAGCUAGUUGGUAAGGUAACGGCUUACCAAGGCAACGAUGCAUAGCCGACCUGAGAGGGUGAUCGGCCACACUGGAACUGAGACACGGUCCAGACUCCUACGGGAGGCAGCAGUAGGGAAUCUUCCGCAAUGGGCGAAAGCCUGACGGAGCAACGCCGCGUGAGUGAUGAAGGUCUUCGGAUCGUAAAACUCUGUUAUUAGGGAAGAACAUAUGUGUAAGUAACUGUGCACAUCUUGACGGUACCUAAUCAGAAAGCCACGGCUAACUACGUG